AUGGAACAUAACCAAUGAAGCUGGUGAACAAGCUCAUUGCAGCAUAUGCUUCUGAAGGUGGAGUAGCUCUGCAAGAGGAGUAGCAGCAUCAAAAAUGCCCCAUAAAGCUGGUACUGAACUCUCACCUUCCUUGUGGCCUCCUGAACAGCAUGGAUGAGACAAAUGCCAAGGAGAAGUGUCAGUUAACUUCAUUAACCCCAACUCAGGAUGCGAAAACUGGACAUCCUUUGAAAGGUAUCUGCAAGAUCUUGCCCAGCACCGAUUAAAUGAAUUUAAUGAAGAACAUACAGCUUCAUUGCCAGUUCUGGAAGUGGAAAAAAAGAGAAGAAAAAAGAAAAGAAGAAAAUAAUUACUUACCUGUUGAACUGAGGUUGCCUUAAGCAGAUUAUUAAAGCACUGAAGAACAGAAGCCAUCCAGCCGACAAGGAAAUUGUCUACUGAAUAUAGGACCUCCACCGUUGCUGAAACCUCAGUGACUUGUGUCCCUUGCCUAUCCCUAAGCAUCAAACACCACCAGUAAGCUUCUGCUAUAGAGAAAACUUACUGACAAGGAUAUUGCCCCUCAACUGUGUAUGCCAAAGUUAUUUUUACUUCCUAUAACUUCGAAGACUGGGUUCAUAAAUAUUUGCU